UGAAUUAACAAAAAUAAAAGAGCCUUGAUGUCAAUAGAUGUUAGAAAAGAACUUUUUCAUCAUUAUAUAUCAAUGGCGAAAAAGUUAUUUUCUAAUUUCUAUUGACUCGAAGACUCUUUUAUUUUUAUCAAAUCGCCUCAAAUGAUCAUUUAAAUAUUUGUGAAGCUGAACAAAAUAAUAUGAUUUCUGUUGAUAACUUAAAAAGAUAGGGAUGACAAAAUAUCAUUUUCCAUGAUUUAGCCAUGAAAUAAUAGUAAUAAAUAUUAUCUAUAAAAUAUAUACGAAAUUCAAAUAAAAUAAUAUACUAAUUAAAAGAAUAGAUUAACUUACUCUGAUAAAAACUUUAAAAACAUGUCAAGUUUUAUUGGAGGUAGACCGAGAUUCCAUGAAAAUAAUAAAACUUCAUGUAGACUAUUCAUCUCAUUCAAAAUAAUUUUAUUUUUGUGCACUGCAUUAGAAAAGUAUCAUUCCUCUACUCUUAUAAUAAGAGCUCUGUUUUCAGAUAUUACAAAAUUGUAUCUUUGGUCCAAGCUUAUUUUCCCAUAACACAUAUUCUUCUGUUUAUAUAAUGUUGACGGUCCUUUUAAAAAUUGUUUUACAUACAUCUUGAAUUUACUCCAAUCAUGAGUCUAAAUACUUUCUCAGUCUAUAUUGUAAUUUUCGUACAUGAAGACCGUUAUUUCUGUCCCCAUAAUUCCUGUCAAAAUAAAUCAAUCUGCGUAAAAAAAAAUUCUGACAACAAUGUCAGAAUUUUUGAAACAUCUCAUCUGUCUUUGAACUUAUUCAAAUCCAAAGACAUACAGAAAUUCUGACAAAUUGGGAAGGUCUAAAGUGAAAAAACAAGCUGCUCUGGAAGCAAUUUUUCGUAAAGCUUCUUCAAUAUCAUCUCUGACGACAACAAUUCAUGUCAAUUCUAAAUCCAAAAGUAUAGAAAAGAAAGUCUCCACCAAACUAGUGCUUGCCACCAUCAAUGCCGUCUCAGCGUUUGGCAAAUUUAGCUAGCGCCCAAAAGGCCCCACCACUUGUUGAACUAUUUCACUCCUUAAAGAAUCAUUGAUAUGAAGAGAGACAUAAAAAGGGCCUCUGAAUCAUCUGCAACCGGUAGCGAUUAGUGCACACAGUAGCAUUGUUGGAGAAAUUCAAAACCGUUCAGCUCAUCUUUUAGCAGUCUGAACUGAGCAUACGGAGGCUAAUCAAGCUGCAAAAUUCUGUCAUGCGUUCGUACCAAGCGUACACAUUCCAACCGCUUGGAUGCUCAAUUCGGGGAUAAUGAGCAAGAUAAAGCAGGCUUCCAUGACUCUAGCCAAGAUGUACAUGAAAAGAGUGACAAUGGAGCUCGAAUCCAACUGGAACACAGACAGAGAAUCUAGCCAAGAUUCUCUUCUGCUUCAGGGUUCAUUUUGCAUACAGAGCUUAUCAGUUUGCUGGAGGCCUAGACUCGGAAACACUGCACGCUUUCGAAGAGAUAAGGCAACGCAUACCGGGACACCUUGCAGCAGGAUCUCGAGAACUUUUGGCUGGCAUACCAAUGGCAAUCAUCAUGAAAAGCCAUUGAUUUUCUUCUACUAUGCUCUUUUGGACUCUUGGUUGUCACCACCAAAAGCUGGAAUACUAACAUUCAUUACUAUUAUUUUUUUUGUUUUCCUCCUUAUCUAUCUCCCUCCAAUGGUCCCAAAACAGAAGAGAUAACAAAAAUGGAGAAACACCACAUAUUCACAUCA